AACAUUAUGCCUGGAAUGGUUUAUGUUUCAAAUAAUUUAUUGCCGUAGGAUGGGACUGCGGCCUAUCAGUUUGUUGGUGAGGUAAUGGCCCACCAAGACUAUUACAGGUACGGGCUCUGAGAGGAGUAGCCCGGAGAUGGGUACUGAGACACGGACCCAGGCCCUAUGGGGCGCAGCAGGCGAGAAAACUUUGCAAUGUGCGAAAGCACGACAAGGUUAAUCCGAGUGGUUUCUGCUAAAGGAACCUUUUGUCAGUCCUAGAAACACUGAUGAAUAAGGGGUGGGCAAGUUCUGGUGUCAGCCGCCGCGGUAAAACCAGCACCUCAAGUGGUCAGGAUGAUUAUUGGGCCUAAAGCAUCCGUAGCCUGCUUUGUAAGUUUUCGGUUAAAUCCAUACGCUCAACGUAUGGGCUGCCGGGAAUACUGCAAAGCUAGGGAGUGGGAGAGGUAGACGGUACUCGGUAGGAAGGGGUAAAAUCCUUUGAUCUAUUGAUGACCACCUGUGGCGAAGGCGGUCUACCAGAACACGUCCGACGGUGAGGGAUGAAAGCUGGGGGAGCAAACCGGAUUAGAUACCCGGGUAGUCCCAGCUGUAAACUAUGCAAACUCAGUGAUGCAUUGGCUUGAUGCCAAUGCAGUGCUGCAGGGAAGCCGUUAAGUUUGCCGCCUGG
rnacentral:rRNA from 1 species